GAGUACGCAUGCGCGCAGCUGCCACUGGGCUGUGGACUGGAGCACCGGGGAGGGGAGUAAACAUGGCGGCGUCCAGUGCCAGUCUUUAAGUCAGGUAGAGAAAACGUAAGAGUAAUAGAAGCUAGGGAGGAGGAAAGCGUUGCCAUUCCUGCAGAGAGCUGACCGCGCAGUCAGAGAAGAAGGAGGAGUGGCGGUGCGCCCCUAGAGCCGGGAAGGGGCGGGACUGGAGUCCUGGCUACAGCGCGGCUGCCUGCUGGUAACGUGCCGCUCACCGCUAUAUGUGCAGGCCUCCAUGCAAAAUGAAUAUAAUUCGAGAGAACAAGGAUCUAGCCUGUUUCUAUACCACAAAACAUUCCUGGAGAGGGAAAUAUAAAAGAGUGUUUUCAGUGGGAACCCAUGCCAUAACAACAUACAACCCAACCACCUUUGAAGUUACAAAUCAGUGGCCUUAUGGAGACCUUUGCAGCAUCAGUCCUGUGGGCAAAGGGCAAGGAUCAGAAUUUGCCCUCACAUUUCGGAAGGGCAGUGGAAAGAAAUCAGAAACUUUAAAGUUUUCUACAGAGCACAGAACAGAACUUCUGACAGAAGCCCUGCGAUUCAGGACAGACUUUGCUGAAGGCAAGAUUACUGGAAGGAGGUACAACUGCUACAAGCAUCACUGGAGUGAUAGCAGGAAACUAGUCACUCUGGAAGUGACUCCGGGGGGUAUAGACCAAAUUGAUCCAUCAAACAAUCGUCUCCUCUGCUCCUAUGACUAUCGGAAUAUUGAAGGCUUUGCAGAACUGUCCGAUUACCAAGGAGGGUUCUGUAUCUUGUAUGGAGGUUUUAGUCGAUUGCACUUAUUUGCUACGGAACAAAGAGAUGAAAUUAUAAAAAGUGCUAUAGAGCAUGCUGGCAACUACAUAGGAAUUUCCCUUAGAACAAGAAAAGAUCCUAUAGAGUUUGAGCACUUUGUGAACCUCCGUUUGGGCAAAUAUAGCAAUGAUGAAUCUAUCACCUCACUAGCAGAAUUCAUUGUACAAAAGAUAUCUCCAAGGCAUGCGGAGCCAGUGAAGAGAUUAUUAGCACUUACUGAAACUUGUCUAGUGGAACGAGACCCAGCAACCUACAACAUUGUAACGCUCAAACCACUCGGAGAGAUUUUUGCACUUGUGUAUGACCCAGAAAAUCCUCAACUCUUUACCAUUGAAUUUAUCAAAGGCCAAAUUCGAAAAUAUUCAUCAACUGAAAGAGAUUCCUUGUUGGCAAGCCUUUUAGAUGGGGUCAGAGCUUCUGGCAAUAGGGAUAUUUGUGUAAAAAUGACUCCAACACAGAGAGGCCAACGGUGGGGUCUCAUGAGUGUACCUGUGGAUGAAGAGGUGGAAAGUCUACAUUUGAGAUUUCUUAAUACUCCUCCAAAUGGAGUGUUUGCAGAUGCAGUCUUCAGGUUUAAUUCUAACAUCUCUUACAGUGGAGUUCUACAUGCAGUAACACAAGAUGGCCUGUUUUCUGAAAACAAGGAGAAAUUAAUAAAUAACGCCAUAACAUCCUUACUCUCUCAAGAAGGAGAGCAGACGGCGUCUAAUGCAGAGCUGGAAAGUCAGUUCCAGGCAGUCAGACGAUUAGUGGCUUCAAAAGCCGGAUUCCUGGCCUUUACUCAGCUGCCAAAGUUUCGGGAACGUCUGGGAGUUAAAGUAGUGAAGGCUCUAAAGAGGAAUAAUGAUGGUGUGACCCAUGCUGCUAUUGACAUGCUGUGUGCGCUUAUGUGUCCAAUGCAUGAUGACUAUGACUUAAGGCAAGAGCAACUGAACAAAGCAUCUCUUCUUUCUUCCAAAAAGUUUCUGGAAAACUUAUUAGACAAAUUUAAUUCCCAUGUGAAUUAUGGGACUGGAGCUCUGGUUAUCAGUUCACUCUUGGAUUUCCUCACCUUUGCUCUUUGCGCACCAUACAGUGAGACAACAGAAGGGCAGCAAUUUGAUAUGCUGCUCGAGAUGGUAGCACUACAUGGUAGAACACUUUUCAAACUCUUUCAGCACCCUUCCAUGGCUAUUGUAAAGGGAGCUGGCUUGGUAAUGAAGGCUAUCAUUGAAGAAGCAGACAAAGAAAUUGCUACAAAAAUGCAGGAACUUGCUCUUAGUGAAGGUGCCUUACCUCGACACUUGCACACUGCAAUGUUUACAAUAAGUGUUGAUCAAAGAAUGCUCACCAAUAGACAGUUGAGUAGACACUUAGUUGGCCUUUGGACGGCAGAAAACAUGACAUCUUUACAUUUGUUGAAGCGCAUUUUGCCCUCAGGUUUGCUGGCAUACCUGGAUAGUAAGGAUCCGGUUCCGGAAAAAGAUGUUGACCGAAUGCACAUCAGGGAUAAUCUGAAAAUUGCUUCUGACCAAUAUGGCAAAUAUAACAAAGUUCCAGAAUGGCAGAGGUUAGCUGGGAAAGCUGCUAAAGAAGUUGAAAAAUUUGCCAAGGAAAAAGUUGACUUGGUUUUGUUGCACUGGCGAGACAGGAUGGGAAUUGCACAGAAAGAGGACAGAAAUAAUAUGAAUAUAAACCAAAAACCUGUCAUCCUUCGUAAAAGGCGGCAGCGGAUAAAAAUAGAGGCCAACUGGGAUCUUUUUUACUACAGAUUUCACCAGGAUCAUGCUCGAUCAAACUUGAUCUGGAAUUUUAAAACAAGGGAGGAGUUAAGAGAUACGCUUGAAGCUGAAAUGAGAGCUUUUAAUGUUGAUCGGGAACUUGGAAGCUCCACAGUUAUAUCAUGGAAUUAUCAGGAGUUUGAGGUGAAAUACGAAUGUCUGACUGAUGAGAUAAAAAUAGGAGACUACUACCUUCGUUUGCUGUUGGAGGAGGAUGAGAAUGAGGAAAACAGUGUUAUAAAGCAAUCGAAUGAUUUUUUCAAUGAACUUUACCACCGAUUCCUCCUCACUCCAAAAGUGAACAUGAAGUGUUUAUGUUUACAAGCCCUGGCAAUUGUGUAUGGCAGGUGUCAUGAAGAAAUUGGAGCAUUUUCAGAUACCAAGUACAUUGUUGGAAUGCUUGAGAGGUGCACUGACAGACUGGAAAGGGACAGGCUCAUCUUAUUUUUAAACAAGCUGAUUCUUAAUAAGAAAAAUGUGAAAGAUGUUAUGGACUCCAAUGGAGUUAGGAUCCUGGUUGAUCUCCUUACCUUAGCACAUCUUCACACCAGCAGAGCCACAGUUCCACUUCAGAGCAAUGUCAUUGAAGCAUCUCCUGAUAUGAAGAGAGAGAGUGAGAAGGAAUGGUAUUUUGGCAAUGCUGACAAGGAAAGAAGUGGUCCAUACAGCUUUGUAGAAAUGCAAGAAUUCUGGACCAAAGGAGUGUUAACCCCGAAAACUCGCUGCUGGGCCCAGGGUAUGGAUGGUUGGCGCCCACUGCAAGUCAUUCCUCAACUAAAAUGGUGUUUGCUGGCAAGUGGACAAGCUGUCCUGAAUGAAACUGAUUUGGCCACUCUUAUCUUAAAUAUGCUUAUAACCACGUGUGGAUACUUUCCUAGCAGGGACCAAGACAAUGCCAUCAUUAGACCACUGCCUAAAAUAAAAAGAUUGCUGUCAGACAACACUUGCCUUCCUCACAUCACCCAGCUUUUGCUGACGUUUGACCCCAUCCUGGUAGAGAAGGUUUCCAUAUUGCUCUAUCACAUCAUGCAAGACAACCCACAGCUGCCUCGUUUCUAUCUCACUGGAGUGUUCUUCUUUAUAAUGAUGUACACUGGUUCCAAUGUGCUUCCUAUAGCCAGAUUUCUCAAGUACAGUCAUACUAAACAAGCUUUCAGAUCAGAAGAGAGUAAAGGAACAGACAUCUUCCAACGAAGCAUCCUUGGUCACAUUCUCCCUGAAGCUAUGGUAUGCUAUCUAGAAAACUAUGAGCCAGAAAAAUUUUCUGAGAUUUUUCUUGGAGAGUUUGAUACCCCAGAGGCUAUUUGGAGCAGUGAAAUGAGACGACUCAUGAUUGAGAAGAUUGCUGCCCACUUAGCUGAUUUCAGCCCCCGACUUCAGAGUAACACAAGAGCACUUUACCAAUACUGCCCUAUUCCAGUCAUCAAUUAUCCGCAACUGGAGAAUGAGCUGUUCUGCAACAUCUACUACCUGAAACAUUUCUGUGACACAUUCAGAUUUCCGAAUUGGCCAAUUAAGGAUCCUGUGAAACUUUUGAAGGACACUUUAGAUGCCUGGAAAAGAGAGGUAGAGAAAAAACCUCCAAGUAUGUCUAUUGAUGAUGCUUAUGACGUUCUUGGUCUUCCAAAAGGACAAGGCCUGCAAGAAGAGAGUAAGAUAAGAAAAGCAUACUUCAGACUUGCUCAGAAAUACCAUCCAGACAAGAAUCCUGAUGGAAGGGAUAUGUUUGAAAAAGUGAACAAGGCAUAUGAGUUUCUGUGUACAAAGUCAACUAAGGUUGUGGAUGGGCCAGAUCCAGAAAAUAUCAUCCUUAUCCUUAAAACGCAAAGUAUCCUAUUCAAUCGCCACAAGGAAGAUCUUCAGCCUUACAAGUACGCCGGAUACCCUAUGCUCAUCCGAACUAUUAUCAUGGAGACCUCCGAUGAUCAGCUCUUCUCCAAGCUCUCUCUCCUUCCUGCUGCCACUGAAUUGGCAUUUCACACAGUGAAUUGUUCAGCACUUAAUGCAGAGGAACUUAGGAGAGAAAAUGGCAUUGAGGUGCUACAGGAGGCUUUCAGUCGCUGUGUUUCGGUGUUAACUGGAUCAAGUAAGCCAGAAGACAUGCCUGUUCAGGUCUGUGGACAUAUUUGCAAGUGUUACAGUGUAGCAGCUCAGUUUGAAGAGUGCAGAGAGAAGAUUACAGAAAUGCCAAACAUCAUUAAGGAUCUAUGUAGAGUAUUUUACUAUGGCAAGAAAGUCCAGAGACUGGCUUCACUGGCCGUGGAAUGUGUCAGCUCCUUCGCAGUUGAUUUCUUCCUGCAAACACAUUUGUUCCAUGCAGGGAUUUUGUGGCACCUGCUUAUUUAUCCUUUUAACUAUGACUUUACAUUGGAAGAAAGUGGUAUUCAGAAGAAUGAAGACACAAAUCAACAGGAAGUUGCCAACAGUCUUGCCAAGCUCAGCCUUCUUGCUGUAAGCCGAUUAGGGGGAUAUUUAACAGGCGACCAAGCAACACCUGAAAAUCCAACUAUACGGAAAAGCUUAGCAGGGAUGCUUACUCCUUAUGUUGCUAGAAAACUUUCUGUGUCAUCUCCCGAAGAGAUUCUCAAAAUGCUUAAUUGUAACACAGAAAGCCCAUACCUCAUAUGGAAUAAUGGUACCAGAGCAGAACUUUUGGAAUUUCUUGAAUCUGAGCAGGAAAGCAUGACAAGACGAGGGGAAUGUGAUAAAAGCUUUGGAGCUGAUUUUGUGUUCAGUGAUCAUGGCAAGGAGCUCAUUGUGGGGGAGAUUUUUGUACGGGUCUACAAUGAGCAACCCACUUUCCAGCUUGAGGUACCAAAAGCCUUUGCCGCAAGUCUGCUGGAUUACAUUGGAUCCCAAGCACAGUACCUCCAUACACUUAUGGCUAUGACCCAGACUGGGAAAGUGGAGUCUGAACAGCAUGGAGAAAGAUUACUGAAGGUUGAAAUGUCCUUGGAAGCUUUGAGGAACGUAAUCAAACAUAACCCUGGGUCUGAGACAGAAUGUAUUGGCCAUUUCAAAUUGAUAUUUUCAUUGCUGCGAGUCCAUGGAGCAGGGAAAGUUCAGCAGCUUGCUUUGGAGGUAGUCAACAUUGUUACCAGUAACCAGGAAUGUGUUAAUAACAUUGCAGAAUCCAUGGUUCUCUCUAGCUUAUUAUCACUCUUGCAUUCAUUGCCAACAAGUCGACAGCUUGUUCUUGCCACCUUGUAUGCCUUAACAUCCAAUACUAAAAUCAUAAAGGAGGCCAUGGCCAAAGGAGCUUUAAUUUACCUACUGGAUAUGUUUUGUAAUUCAACUCACCCCCAAGUCCGAACACAAACAGCAGAGCUGUUUGCCAAGAUGACAACUGACAAACUUGUUGGCCCUAAGGUCAGAAUUGCACUUAUGAAGUUCCUGCCAGGGGUAUUCAUGGACGCUAUGAGGGACAAUGCUGAAGCUGCUGUUCAUAUAUUUGAAGGAACCCAUGAAAAUCCAGAAUUAAUUUGGAAUGAUAACUCCAGAGAAAAAGUGUCAACCACAGUCCGUGAAAUGAUGCUGGAGCACUUUAGGCAGCAGGUAGAAAAUCCUGAUGCAAAUUGGAGGUUGCCAGAUGAUUUCAGUAUCGCAUUUGGAGAGGCACACGGAGAAUUAUCAGUUGGUGGUGUUUUCCUAAGAAUAUUUAUCGCUCAACCUGCUUGGGUUCUACGGAAGCCAAGAGAAUUCCUUGUUGCUCUACUGGAAAAGUUUACUGAACUUCUGGAAAAAAAUAAUGCUCAUGGUGAAACUUUAGAAACCGUAACUACAGCAACAGUAUGUCUGUUCAACGCUCAGUCUCAGUUAUUGGACCAGGUUCCACCUUUGGGACACCUGCCUAAGAUUCUUCAGGCCCUGAACCACAAGAACAAUGCCGUUCCAAAGUGUGCAAUACGGGUCAUUCACACCAUGACUGAUAAUGAGUUAUGUGUUCGUGCAAUGGCUUCGCUGGAAACAAUUGGACCCUUCAUGAGUGGGAUGAAAAAGCGCUCUGAUAUGAUUGGUAUAGCAUGUGAAGCCCUCAAUAGGAUGUUCCAGAAGGAGCAAACAGAGUUGGUGGCACAAGCAUUGAAAGCAGAUCUGGUUCCAUAUUUGCUAAGGUUGCUUGAAGGUCAAGGCCUUGAGAACCUAGAAAGUCCUGCAGCCACAAAGGCUCAGAUAGUUAAGGCUCUGAAAUCCAUGACUCGUAGCCUGCAGUAUGGUGAACAGGUAAAUGAAAUUUUGUCCCGAUCCUCUGUAUGGAGUGCCUUUAAAGAUCAGAAACAUGACUUGUUCAUUUCUGAAUCACAGACAGCAGGAUACCUCACUGGUGUCUCUCCUUCCCUUCUUACUGGUAGCAGCCCCCUUCAUCUCAGAAGUGGGCUUUAGAUGCUUUCUUCCAGGCAGCUUGCUAACUGCUGUGUAGCUCUGUAACACAGGACCUGGAGUUGCUGGCUACCUUACGGCAGGGACUUCAUCUACAGUUAUGCCCAAUGUGCCACCACCGGUGGACCAUGAAGUAGGAGAUCUUGGCUAGGCAGCACAGAUGUUACACCAAUGAAGUCUCAAAAGGAGGAACUGCUUCUUGUUGCAUGAGGAAAGCACUGUAAACUUUUUCCUCUUCUCCAUCCCACCAGGGUUGAUUCAAAUGACUUUAUUUUCGGCCUUCCUUGUUUUAAGAGAAAGUGUUAUUCCUUUUUGUAAUACAUAUAUUUUUAUUUAGGGAUAAAAAAAAAGAAAAAUACAUUGGAGAUGUGGUCCUGAUAAAGCAUCACUAUGUAAAAUACACAUGAAAGCACUCUGUGGAUCAGCUGUCUGGUUACACAACUUGUUCUGUUGUCUUUCCUUUUGUAUCUAAGCACAUUCUGUUCCUUUGUAUUUGUUUACAAGACUGUGAAUCAAAGUAAUAAUAAUCUCCCUGUUCUACCUUUUAUAUUCCAAGAAGAGGCAGAGGUGCCGUCUAGAAUGGAAGGGCAUUCACAUUGCCGUUUUGUUGGAAGUGGUUGGGCUCCCUCAGAAUGACUGAAUCCCAAUAGUGUUCAGUCCAUGAUCUGUGUGCUUUUCAAAUCAAUAACACUAUCCUCGUGAGAAUGAAGAGAAAAAAAUGGUAUUCCCAUGUACAGCAUAGCUUUACCAAAUAAUAAAGUGAAUAUUAAAAUGUCAGCUUAUUAUGUAAGAACCUAGUGUAAUAGUGAUAUGAUUCCUCCAUUAUUCCCCAGUAUAUACAGCUUUCUAUGAAUGUACAUUAUACAGAUCAUUCAACCCUGUACAGAAAAUUUUAAGAAAUAAAAGGGAAAUAAUGACCUUAAUGGAACUUCUGUUAGAUGCUGCCAUGUUGCCUACAAAUUUUUACAUUAAAAAUGUGAUUCUGUUGUA